rnacentral:rRNA from 1 species
UAAGGAAUAUUGCGCAAUGGGCGACAGCCUGACGCAGCGACGCCGCGUGGGGGAUGAAGGUCUUCGGAUUGUAAACCCCUUUCGGGAGGGAAGAUGGAAUGGGGUAACCCAUUCGGACGGUACCUCCAGAAGCAGCCACGGCUAACUUCGUGCCAGCAGCCGCGGUAAUACGAAGGUGGCAAGCGUUAUUCGGAUUUACUGGGCGUACAGGGAGCGUAGGCGGUUCGGUAAGCCCUUUGUGAAAUCUCCAGGCUUAACCUGGAACAGUCGGAGGGGACUGCCGGGCUAGAGGACGGGAGAGGAGCGCGGAAUUCCCGGUGUAGCGGUGAAAUGCGUAGAGAUCGGGAGGAAGGCCGGUGGCGAAGGCGGCGCUCUGGAACGUUUCUGACGCUGAGGCUCGAAAGCGUGGGGAGCAAACAGGAUUAGAUACCCAAGUAGUCCCUGAGCGGGCUGGCAAGGCGCAU